rnacentral:rRNA from 1 species
GGCGAACGGGUGAGUAACACGUGAGCAACCUGCCCUAGGCUUUGGGAUAACCCCGGGAAACCGGGGCUAAUACCGAAUAGGACCUGGCCUCGCAUGAGGCUGGGUGGAAAGUUUUUCGGCCUGGGAUGGGCUCGCGGCCUAUCAGCUUGUUGGUGGGGUGAUGGCCUACCAAGGCGACGACGGGUAGCCGGCCUGAGAGGGCGACCGGCCACACUGGGACUGAGACACGGCCCAGACUCCUACGGGAGGCAGCAGUGGGGAAUAUUGCACAAUGGGCGGAAGCCUGAUGCAGCGACGCCGCGUGAGGGAUGACGGCCUUCGGGUUGUAAACCUCUUUCAGCAGGGACGAAGCGUAAGUGACGGUACCUGCAGAAGAAGCGCCGGCCAACUACGUGCCAGCAGCCGCGGUAAGACGUAGGGCGCGAGCGUUGUCCGGAUUUAUUGGGCGUAAAGAGCUCGUAGGCGGCUUGUCGCGUCGACUGUGAAAACCCGCAGCUCAACUGCGGGCCUGCAGUCGAUACGGGCAGGCUAGAGUUCGGUAGGGGAGACUGGAAUUCCUGGUGUAGCGGUGAAAUGCGCAGAUAUCAGGAGGAACACCGGUGGCGAAGGCGGGUCUCUGGGCCGAUACUGACGCUGAGGAGCGAAAGCGUGGGGAGCGAACAGGAUUAGAUACCCUGGUA